rnacentral:rRNA from 1 species
CUAACUACGUGCCAGCAGCCGCGGUAAUACGUAGGGUGCGAGCGUUGUCCGGAAUUACUGGGCGUAAAGAGCUCGUAGGUGGUUUGUCGCGUCGUCUGUGAAAUUCCGGGGCUUAACCUCGGGCGUGCAGGCGAUACGGGCAAUACUUGAGUGCUGUAGGGGAGACUGGAAUUCCUGGUGUAGCGGUGGAAUGCGCAGAUAUCAGGAGGAACACCGAUGGCGAAGGCAGGUCUCUGGGCAGUAACUGACGCUGAGGAGCGAAAGCAUGGGUAGCGAACAGGAUUAGAUACCCUGGUAGUCCAUGCCGUAAACGGUGGGCGCUAGGUGUAGGGGUCUUCCACGACUUCUGUGCCGUAGCUAACGCAUUAAGCGCCCCGCCUGGGGAGUACGGCCGCAAGGCUAAAACUCAAAGGAAUUGACGGGGGCCCGCACAAGCGGCGGAGCAUGUGGAUUAAUUCGAUGCAACGCGAAGAACCUUACCUGGGCUUGACAUACACCGGACCGGGCCAGAGAUGGCCUUUCCCUUGUGGCUGGUGUACAGGUGGUGCAUGGUUGUCGUCAGCUCGUGUCGUGAGAUGUUGGGUUAAGUCCCGCAACGAGCGCAACCCUUGUCUUAUGUUGCCAGCACGUAGUGGUGGGGACUCAUGAGAGACUGCCGGGGUCAACUCGGAGGAAGGUGGGGAUGACGUCAAAUCAUCAUGCCCCUUAUGUCCAGGGCUUCACACAUGCUACAAUGGUCGGUACAACGCGUUGCGACACUGUGAGGUGGAGCUAAUCGCUGAAAGCCGGCCUCAGUUCGGAUUGGGGUCUGCAACUCGACCCCAUGAAGUCGGAGUCGCUAGUAAUCGCAGAUCAGCAACGCUGCGGUGAAUACGUUCCCGGGCCUUGUACACACCGCCCGU